rnacentral:rRNA from 1 species
AUAAGAGAUGAGGUGUAAAGGUGUUUCGUGUCCAACGGUGGCGCAGCUUAAUUAUUAUUGAGUGAGUGCUCGGAGAAGGUGAAAAGCCUGUGAGGUUGUGCUAACCUAUUGAACCGUGACACUGAAGAGUCUAGUUGUUUGAGAGUACAACUUAAAGCUGGUGGUAAAUUUCAUCAAAGGCUAAAUAUACGAGGGGACUAAUAGCGAACAAGUACCAUGAGGGAAAGUUGAAAAGAACUCUGAAGAGAGAGUUCAACAGUACGUGAAACCAUAUUGAGUAAAACAGAUAACUGUGUUGUUAUGUGGUGUGCCUAUCAACAGUCUAUUUGGUGUUGUGAUGCCAUGAGCGUUGGUUGUCGAUUCAGCUGAAAUUGCUCGUGAUUAGCAUAGCCUAAGAUUCUGUGCACUAGUGCGCACUCAAUCAUCGAGAAACUAUGCUGCUGCGGCAUCGGCGUGCAUCGGUCCGUACUCAGUACGC